UGGUGUAACUUCUUUUGUACCUGUCUUCCCUAGCCUGACUGCUCCAGGUAUGCGAAGUAUGCGUGUCCAAGGGACUACCAUCCAGUUUGUGGCACUAAUGGAGAGACCUAUGGAAACGAGUGUGUUCUCUGCCUUGCUAACAGCAGAAGGUAUAAGUGAGAGUAGCAGAACAGCAGCGAGGGGAGCUUAAAAAAUGGCGAGCCAACAGAUCUCAAGAAAGGCAAGGCUGAAACAGAUUUCUGACUUUGAGGCAGAGGAAAGAUUAAUUCUGACCAGAUGAUCUACAAAAUUCAAACGGCCAAGAUAAAAGAAACAUAGGCCAAAAUAAGGAAAGUGAAAAACAUAUCAAAGGACACUCAAGAGAAGAUAACACAAAUAUAGAAAUUCUUCGAAGGGGACAUUGCUGAUAUGAGAGAUGGCCACUUGUCAAGAAAAUAAGAGGCUCACAGACAAUCCAAAUGGAAGCAAUGCCUUAAUUGUACCUUUUAUGUAGCCUUAAUAAACAAGCUUGCAUAUUUAAA